rnacentral:rRNA from 1 species
UUUUUCAGAAAUGGAAAAGUGCCUCCCCUUUCAAAAGGGAGAAACGAGAACAC